CCUACGGGUGGCAGCAGUGGGGAAUAUUGGUCAAUGGACGAGAGUCUGACCCAGCCAAGUAGCGUGAAGGAUGACUGCCCUAUGGGUGGUAAACUUCGUUUGUAUGGGAAUAAAAUGUUCCACGUGUGGGAUUUUGUAUGUACCAUAUGAAUAAGGAUCGGAUAACUCCGUGCCAGCAGCCGCGGGAAUACGGAGGAUCCGAGCGUUAGCCGGAUUUAAUGGGUUUAAAGGGAGCGUAGGUGGAUUGUUAAGUCAGUUGUGAAAGUUUGCGGCUCAACCGUAAAAUGGCAGUUGAAACUGGCAGUCUGGAGUACAGUAGAGGUGAGCGGAAUUCGUGGUGUAGCGGUGAAAUGCUUAGAUAUCACGAAGAACUCCGAUUGCGAAGGCAGUUCACUGGACUGCAACUGACACUGAGGCUCGAAAGUGUGGGUAUCAAACAGGAUUAGAUACCCGUGUAGUC
rnacentral:rRNA from 1 species